rnacentral:tRNA from 1 species
GCGCCCAUAGUUUAAUGGAUCAGAAUAAGGGCUUGCGGAGCCUUUGAUGGAAGUUCGAUUCUUCCUGGGCGCA